rnacentral:rRNA from 15 species
UCAAGUAAUUAAGUGCAUGUGGUGGAUGCCUUGGCAGUCAGAGGCGAUGAAAGACGUGAUAGCCUGCGAAAAGCUCCGGGGAGGCGGCAAAUAUCCUUUGAUCCGGAGAUGUCUGAAUGGGGGAACCCACCUACUUUAAGGUAGGUAUUGCAACAUGAAUACAUAGUGUUGCAAGGCGAACGAGGGGAAGUGAAACAUCUCAGUACCCUUAGGAAAAGAAAUCAAUUGAGAUUCCCUCAGUAGCGGCGAGCGAACGGGGAUCAGCCCAUUAAGUUAUGUGUGUUUUAGUGGAACGCUCUGGGAAGUGCGAACGUAGAGGGUGAUAUUCCCGUACACGAAAGGGCACACAUAAUGAUGACGAGUAGGGCGAGGCACGUGAAACCUUGUCUGAAUAUGGGGGGACCAUCCUCCAAGGCUAAAUACUCCUGACUGACCGAUAGUGAACCAGUACCGUGAGGGAAAGGCGAAAAGAACCCCUGUGAGGGGAGUGAAAUAGAUCCUGAAACCGCAUGCAUACAAGCAGUGGGAGCACCUUCGUGGUGUGACUGCGUACCUUUUGUAUAAUGGGUCAGCGACUUAUAUUCAGUAGCAAGGUUAACCGUAUAGGGGAGCCGUAGAGAAAUCGAGUCUUAAUAGGGCGUUUAGUUGCUGGGUAUAGACCCGAAACCAGGCGAUCUAUCCAUGAGCAGGUUGAAGGUUGGGUAACACUAACUGGAGGACCGAACCCACUGUCGUUGAAAAGCCAGGGGAUGACUUGUGGAUAGGGGUGAAAGGCUAAUCAAGCCUGGUGAUAGCUGGUUCUCCCCGAAAGCUAUUUAGGUAGCGCCUCGGACGAAUACCAUAGGGGGUAGAGCACUGUUUCGGCUAGGGGGUCAUCCCGACUUACCAAACCGAUGCAAACUCCGAAUACCUAUGAGUACUAUCCGGGAGACAGACUGCGGGUGCUAACGUCCGUAGUCAAGAGGAAAACAAUCCAGACCGCCAGCUAAGGCCCCAAAAUCAUAGUUAAGUGGGAAACGAUGUGGGAAGGCAUAGACAGCUAGGAGGUUGGCUUAGAAGCAGCCACCCUUUAAAGAAAGCGUAAUAGCUCACUAGUCGAGUCGGCCUGCGCGGAAGAUGUAACGGGGCUAAAACUAUGUGCCGAAGCUGCGGAUGUAUACUUUGUAUACGUGGUAGGGGAGCGUUCUGUAAGCCGAUGAAGGUGUGUUGAGAAGCAUGCUGGAGGUAUCAGAAGUGCGAAUGCUGACGUGAGUAACGACAAAACGGGUGAAAAACCCGUUCGCCGAAAGACCAAGGGUUCCAGUCCAACGUUAAUCGGGGCUGGGUGAGUCGACCCCUAAGGCGAGGCCGAAAGGCGUAGUCGAUGGGAAAAUGGUUAAUAUUCCAUUACUUCUGUGUAAUGCGAUGAGAGGACGGAGAAGGCUAAAUCAGCCUGGCGUUGGUUGUCCAGGUGAAAGGAUGUAGGCAUGUAUCUUAGGCAAAUCCGGGGUACUCUAUGCUGAGAUCUGAUAGCAAGCUGUACUUGUACAGCGAAGUGGUUGAUGCCAUGCUUCCAGGAAAAGUCUCUAAGCUUCAGUUACACAGGAAUCGUACCCGAAACCGACACAGGUGGUCAGGUCGAGUAGACCAAGGCGCUUGAGAGAACUCUGCUGAAGGAACUAGGCAAAAUGGUACCGUAACUUCGGGAGAAGGUACGCUGUUGUUGGUGAUGGAACUCGCUUCCUGAGCUGACGACAGCCGCAGAAACCAGGCCGCUGCAACUGUUUAUUAAAAACAUAGCACUCUGCAAACACGAAAGUGGACGUAUAGGGUGUGAUGCCUGCCCGGUGCUGGAAGGUUAAUUGAUGGGGUUAGCGUAAGCGAAGCUCUUGAUCGAAGCCCCAGUAAACGGCGGCCGUAACUAUAACGGUCCUAAGGUAGCGAAAUUCCUUGUCGGGUAAGUUCCGACCUGCACGAAUGGCAUAAUGAUGGCGGCGCUGUCUCCAGCAGAGGCUCAGUGAAAUCGAAAUCGCUGUGAAGAUGCAGUGUACCCGCGGCUAGACGGAAAGACCCCGUGAACCUUUACUGCAGCUUGACACUGAACUUUGACCUUACUUGUGUAGGAUAGGUGGGAGGCUUUGAAGCUGGAACGCUAGUUCCAGUGGAGCCGUCCUUGAAAUACCACCCUGGUAAUGUUGAGGUUCUAACUCUGUCCCGUGAUCCGGGACGAGGACCGUGUCUGGUGGGUAGUUUGACUGGGGCGGUCUCCUCCUAAAGAGUAACGGAGGAGUACGAAGGUGCGCUCAGCGUGGUCGGAAAUCACGCGUAGAGUAUAAAGGCAAAAGCGCGCUUAACUGCGAGACCCACAAGUCGAGCAGGUACGAAAGUAGGUCUUAGUGAUCCGGUGGUUCUGUAUGGAAGGGCCAUCGCUCAACGGAUAAAAGGUACUCUGGGGAUAACAGGCUGAUACCGCCCAAGAGUUCAUAUCGACGGCGGUGUUUGGCACCUCGAUGUCGGCUCAUCUCAUCCUGGGGCUGAAGCAGGUCCCAAGGGUAUGGCUGUUCGCCAUUUAAAGAGGUACGCGAGCUGGGUUUAGAACGUCGUGAGACAGUUCGGUCCCUAUCUACCGUGGGCGCUGGAAAUUUGAGAGGAUCUGCUCCUAGUACGAGAGGACCAGAGUGGACGAACCUCUGGUGUACCGGUUGUGACGCCAGUCGCAUCGCCGGGUAGCUAUGUUCGGAAGGGAUAACCGCUGAAAGCAUCUAAGCGGGAAGCCUACCUCAAGAUAAGAUUUCCCUAGGACUUUAUGUCCUCUAAAGAGCCGUUCGAGACUAGGACGUUGAUAGGUUGGAUGUGGAAGCAUAGUGAUAUGUGAAGCUGACCAAUACUAAUUGCUCGUGAGGCUUGACUAU